GGAACUUCUGUUUCCCUGGGAGGAGGAAGGUGGGAGGAAGGAGAGGAGAAGCAAUUCGAAUUUUCCAGAAAAAAUGGCAUUCAGGGAACCAAGGAUUGAUAGCUUCUGCUGUGGUCUCCUGGGGAAGGCCUUCCAGCCUGCGGCAUUUGUAACUCUGCUGUCACCAAGUGUUAUAGAGGUCACCCCGGAGAAGACUCUUGCUCAGGGACAGAUGUAGCCUCACUCAUUGGGAUGAGCCAGGACCCUGGUCAGUGGGCACAGUUACAGGUGCCGAGGAGUCUUAGAACUGUCCAAGCAGAACAGAGCUAAAAGGGACC
rnacentral:lncRNA from 1 species